AGAGUUUGAUUCUGGCUCAGAUUGAACGCUGGCGGCGUGCUUAACACAUGCAAGUCGAACGUGAAAGUCCUUCGGGGCGAGUAAAGUGGCGCACGGGUGAGUAACGCGUGGAUAAUCUACCCUUAAGAUGGGGAUAACGGCUGGAAACGGUCGCUAAUACCGAAUACGCUCCCGAUUUUAUCGUUGGGGGGAAAGAUGGCCUCUGCUUGCAAGCUAUCGCUUAAGGAUGAGUCCGCGUCCCAUUAGCUAGUUGGCGGGGUAACGGCCCACCAAGGCAACGAUGGGUAGCCGGUCUGAGAGGAUGACCGGCCACACUGGAACUGGAACACGGUCCAGACUCCUACGGGAGGCAGCAGUGGGGAAUAUUGCGCAAUGGGCGAAAGCCUGACGCAGCGACGCCGCGUGAGGGAUGAAGGUUCUCGGAUCGUAAACCUCUGUCAGGGGGGAAGAAACCCCCUCGUGUGAAUAAUGCGAGGGCUUGACGGUACCCCCAAAGGAAGCACCGGCUAACUCCGUGCCAGCAGCCGCGGUAAUACGGAGGGUGCAAGCGUUAAUCGGAAUCACUGGGCGUAAAGCGCACGUAGGCGGCUUGGUAAGUCAGGGGUGAAAUCCCACAGCCCAACUGUGGAACUGCCUUUGAUACUGCCAGGCUUGAGUACCGGAGAGGGUGGCGGAAUUCCAGGUGUAGGAGUGAAAUCCGUAGAUAUCUGGAGGAACACCGGUGGCGAAGGCGGCCACCUGGACGGUAACUGACGCUGAGGUGCGAAAGCGUGGGUAGCAAACAGGAUUAGAUACCCUGGUAGUCCACGCU
rnacentral:rRNA from 1 species